rnacentral:pre_miRNA from 1 species
UCACCUGGGGAUCUUGUUAAAACAGAUUCUGAUUCAGUCACUCUGGAAUGGGGCCCAAGAUUCUGUAUUUCUAACAAGCUCCCAGGUGAGGCAGCU